UACGAAGGGGGCUAGCGUUGCUCGGAAUCACUGGGCGUAAAGCGCACGUAGGCGGGUCGUUAAGUCGGGGGUGAAAUCCUGGAGCUCAACUCCAGAACUGCCUUCGAAACUGACGAUCUUGAGUUCGGGAGAGGUGAGUGGAACUGCGAGUGUAGAGGUGAAAUUCGUAGAUAUUCGCAAGAACACCAGUGGCGAAGGCGGCUCACUGGCCCGAUACUGACGCUGAGGUGCGAAAGCGUGGGGAGCAAACAGG
rnacentral:rRNA from 1 species